UACGGGGGGAGCAAGCGUUGUUCGGAUUUACUGGGCGUAAAGGGCGCGUAGGCGGCGUGACAAGUCACUUGUGAAAUCUCCGGGCUUAACUCGGAACGGUCAAGUGAUACUGUCGUGCUAGAGUACAGAAGGGGCAACUGGAAUUCUCGGUGUAGCGGUGAAAAUGCGUAGAUAUCGAGAGGAACACCUGCGGCGAAGGCGGGUUGCUGGGCUGAUACUGACGCUGAGGCGCGAAAGCCAGGGGAGCGAACGGG
rnacentral:rRNA from 1 species